GUCCCAGUUCGGAUUGUAGUCUGCAACCCGACUACAUGAAGCUGGAAUCGCUAGUAAUCGCGGAUCAGAAUGCCGCGGUGAAUACGUUCCCGGGUCUUGUACACACCGCCCGUCACACCAUGGGAGUCGGAAAUGCCCGAAGUCAGUGACCCAACCGUAAGGAGGGAGCUGCCGAAGGUGGAGCCGGUAACUGGGGUGAAGUCGUAACAAGGUAUC
rnacentral:rRNA from 1 species